rfam:Branchiostoma floridae genomic scaffold BRAFLscaffold_101, whole genome shotgun sequence.
UCUCUGUGCUAAGUAGUACUGCCGCAGGGAGUGCUGUGGACUGAUUCUAUCCCCUGCGCAGUCCUACUUACAACAGGGA